GCUCAGCUAACCAGACAGGCGAUUCAUAUUCGGUCUGUCGUUCGUUUCGAUUCUGUCGCGUAGCGUAGCAGAAAAAUGGAGCGAUAGCUGCUGCUAGCUGUCAUUGUUGACAGUCAACUACAAUGGCAACACCACAAAUUAUCUAUUAUAAAUGUAACGCUUGAGUGGAAGUAUACGACCAACGUCCUAUUCGGUACUUCAAUGCAUUUGUCAAUGUUUCCAACAGCUGAAAUAUGUAUAUUAGCCGCAUUUUCAGUGUAAAACCUGGUAGACCUGUAAAUUACCAAAAUAACUCUCACCAGGGAGCGGGAGAGUAAUGAGGACGCAAUCAAGGAAAAGUGCUGGAAUACACAAAAAACAAAAAUGAAAUUAUCUGCGAAUUUCAAUCGAAAAACUCAGAAUCAUUUGUGAAAGCAUACAAAUAGGUGAUGGUACUAACCAACAACAAUGUUUUGUACGUUAAAUUGUCAAAGCAAAAUAUUGCCGAAGUAGAAAACAAAGAAUGAA